rnacentral:rRNA from 1 species
GAUGAACGCUGGCGGCGUGCCUAAUACAUGCAAGUCGAACGCUGGAGAUCUAGCUUGCUAGAUCGAAGGAGUGGCGAACGGGUGAGUAAUACAUAAGCAACCUACCCACGAAGACUGGGAUAAUCUCUGGAAACGGGGACUAAUACCGGAUAGGUAAUCGGAAGGCAUCUUCUGGUUAUUAAAGGUUAAAAACACUGGUGGAUGGGCUUAUGGCGCAUUAGUUAGUUGGUGAGGUAACGGCCCACCAAGACGAUGAUGCGUAGCCGGCCUGAGAGGGUGAACGGCCACAUUGGGACUGAGAGACGGCCCAGACUCCUACGGGAGGCAGCAGUAGGGAAUUUUCGGCAAUGGGGGCAACCCUGACCGAGCAACGCCGCGUGAGUGAAGACGGCCUUCGGGUUGUAAAGCUCUGUUGUAAGGGAAGAACGGUAGAUAGAGAAUAUCUAAGUGACGGUACCUUACCAGAAAGCCACGGCUAACUACGUG